UAAAUUUUAAAAUACAGUACCUAACACUUAAUUCUCUUAUAAUAAAAUUUGGAAAUUCGAUUGGAAAGGGGAAUGAACAAAGGUAGGCUAAUGUUGGCUAAUGGAGGAAGGAUAGAUGCCAAAAAGAUUAUGAUCGUUUUAACAAAUGGUCUUUCUCGACCCAUCAAACCUAAUAAAAUAGCGGAAGUUAUUCGAACUCAACAGCAUGCUGAGAUAUAUGCUCUUUCAACAAGCAAAAAUAAUUUGGACAUCAAACAAUUACUAGAAAUCACCGAAAAACCCGC